rnacentral:rRNA from 1 species
AUUGAACGCUGGCGGCAGGCUUAACACAUGCAAGUCGAGCGGAGAUGAGGUGCUUGCACCUUAUCUUAGCGGCGGACGGGUGAGUAAUGCUUAGGAAUCUGCCUAUUAGUGGGGGACAACAUUCCGAAAGGAAUGCUAAUACCGCAUACGUCCUACGGGAGAAAGCAGGGGAUCUUCGGACCUUGCGCUAAUAGAUGAGCCUAAGUCGGAUUAGCUAGUUGGUGGGGUAAAGGCCUACCAAGGCGACGAUCUGUAGCGGGUCUGAGAGGAUGAUCCGCCACACUGGGACUGAGACACGGCCCAGACUCCUACGGGAGGCAGCAGUGGGGAAUAUUGGACAAUGGGGGGAACCCUGAUCCAGCCAUGCCGCGUGUGUGAAGAAGGCCUUAUGGUUGUAAAGCACUUUAAGCGAGGAGGAGGCUACUGAGACUAAUACUCUUGGAUAGUGGACGUACUCGCAGA